AUUGAACGCUGGCGGCAGGCCUAACACAUGCAAGUCGAGCGGAUGAAGGGAGCUUGCUCCUGGAUUCAGCGGCGGACGGGUGAGUAAUGCCUAGGAAUCUGCCUGGUAGUGGGGGAUAACGUCCGGAAACGGGCGCUAAUACCGCAUACGUCCUGAGGGAGAAAGUGGGGGAUCUUCGGACCUCACGCUAUCAGAUGAGCCUAGGUCGGAUUAGCUAGUUGGUGGGGUAAAGGCCUACCGAGGCGACGAUCCGUAACUGGUCUGAGAGGAUGAUCAGUCACACUGGAACUGGGACACGGUCCAGACUCCUACGGGAGGCAGCAGUGGGGAAUAUUGGACAAUGGGCGAAAGCCUGAUCCAGCCAUGCCGCGUGUGUGAAGAAGGUCUUCGGAUUGUAAAGCACUUUAAGUUGGGAGGAAGGGCAGUAAGUUAAUACCUUGCUGUUUUGACGUUACCAACAGAAUAAGCACCGGCUAACUUCGUG
rnacentral:rRNA from 1 species